rnacentral:tRNA from 1 species
AGCAUUAUAGCUCAGUGGUAGAGUACUUGUCUAGCAUGUGCAACAAGACCCUGGGCUUGAUUCUCAGCACUAUAA